rnacentral:misc_RNA from 1 species
ACAAACUUGGUCAUUUAGAGGAAGUACAAGUCGUAACAAGGUUUCCGUAGGUGAACCUGCGGAAGGAUCAUUACAGAGAAUUUAGUUACUACCUGCCGGUACCUAGCUGCAGUGGCACUAGCGACUAGUCCAUGCUGCAGCUAGAGUAUUGGUCAGUCAUUUGCUCUCCAGCCAAAGCUGGUCUGCACGCUUCGACUGUAUUAUUAUACAAUCUAUGCUGUACAGCUAUACAGCUAGUAAUAGUUGUACAUGUACAGCUAGUAAUAUAUUGAUCUUUACUUUUAACAAUGGAUCUCUAGGCUCUUGCAUCGAUGAAGAACGCAGC